GCUGGACGUGGUGGUGGGCGCCUAUAGUCCCAGCUACUCAGGAGGCUGAGGCAGGAGAAUGGCGUGAACCCGGGAGGCAGAGCUUGCAGUGAGCCGAGAUCACGCACUGCACUCAGCCUGGUGACAGGCGAGACUUGUCUCCAAAGAAAAAAAAAAAAAAAAAGACAGAGUCUCGCUCUGUUGCCCAGGCUGGAGUGCAGUGGUGCUAUCUCAGCUCACUGCAGCCUCUGCCUCCCGGGUUCCAGCGAUUCUCCUGCCUCAG
rnacentral:SRP_RNA from 1 species